GAUGAAGAACGCAGCGAAAUGCGAUACGUAGUGUGAAUUGCAGAAUUCAGUGAAUCAUCGAAUCUCUGAACGCACAUUGCACCUCUCGGUAUUCCGGGAGGUAUGCCUGUUCGAGCGUCAUUUGUACCCUCAAGCUCUGCUUGGUGUUGGGUGUUUGUUCCGCCUCUGUGUGUGAACUCGCCUCAAAACAAUUGGCAGCCGGCGUACUUGUUUCGGAGCGCAGCACAUUUUGCGAUCCAGAUCAACGUACAGCGGCAUCCAAGAAGCCUUAUUUAACGCUCUUGACCUCGGAUCAGGUAGGGAUACCCGCUGAACUUAAGCAUAUCAAUAAGCGGAGGA
rnacentral:misc_RNA from 1 species